rnacentral:lncRNA from 1 species
AAAGUGUACAGGUCCUCGAAGAGAGUUUCCAUGGAAUCAAUUCACAUCUCCAUGAUCCACGGAUCCGCAUCCUCUCCAUCAAAGGUAGGCGGAUCAAAUUGCUUGAAGGUCAUGAGGGCCGCCAAAGCUCGCUCCCACUUUGCCUCCACCAAUGCACUAUCGGGAGUCGGGUUGCCCGACCUCGAUGGAAAUGUCUCCGCCGCGACUCCCGGCCGUACUUGACGAGCCGCGACUGGUGCAAUUACCAGUUGAUCCACCGUUUCUUGGAGUCUUUUCACUCGCUCCUCCUUACGCAUGGCAGCCUUCUGCUGUCGCUGCACCACAUCGGCUUGUUCCCUCACCACUCCAACGAGUGUGGCCAACUGAUCACGAAGCUCUAAGUCUCCACUCGCGUCAGUUCGCUCAGGGACACCACUUGUCCCCUCCCGCGCCGAUCUGGAUGAAGAUCGCCUAGCGGAGGUCUUUGAUCGGGCUUUGUCGGCGGAGCAUGGCUAUGCCCACGAACGCGAGGAACGCGAGUCCGCAGCCAAGGCAAAGGAGAAGAGCAAGAAGCGGACGGCGGGUGGCACCGGGGGUCGGCCAAAUGCUAAGAAACCCCCUCGGUAUCCCCAACAGUAGUUGAGGAGUUGGAGGCCAUCCCGUUGUGUUAUUUGCGGUGGUAACCAUCAACCGCCGACAUGCCCGUAGCGGGAUGGAAAAUGCUUCAAGUGUGGCCAACCUGGGCAUGUGUCGCGAGAGUGCCCUAGCUGGGGUUCGUCUGCACCGACCUCGGCAUCAGUUCCUCAUACCCCGAGGCAGCAGGCGGGAUUACCGCCUGCUGUGUCGGCUGGACGCUCGUCUUCAUCGCGUCAGCCGGAGGCAUCGAGAGCACCGAGUGGACGGGUUUUUUCCACUCAGGUGGAGGAGGAGCCAAUUCCUGUUCCCGACGACAUCGUGGCAAGUAUUAUCUCGAUCAGAGGCACUAGAGCUAGAGCUUUAUUCGACACAGGUGCAUCGCAUUCAUUUAUAGAUGCAUCAUUCGCUAGGACUCAUGGCAUUAAGAUUGUGCAUCAUUAUGACUAUUGGACGGUGAAUUCGGUCGAGCAUACCUUCCAUGUUCACGAAGAGUGUGUAGCGUGUCCAGUGCAGAUAGGUGAUUGGGUCAUGUCGAGCGACCUGUUGGUGUUGAAUCGAAUGUGGGGUUUCGACGUGAUCUUGGGGACGAACUGACUCUCUAUUCGACGUGAUCUUGGGGACGAACUGACUCUCUAAGUGUUAUGCCGUGAUAGAUUGCGAAAGUGAGGUGAUCACGUUUCGUGAGCCUAAUCGAGAGGAGCUAGUUUAUCGGGCAGCUAAAAGCUCGCUCUUCCCGGCGACCGUGUCGGCGGCACGGGCGAGGAAGAUGAUAAAGGGUGGUUGUGAAGCCUACUUGGCGACCAUGGUAGAGGCCCAGAAGGAGCACCCGGAACAUAGUGGUAUUCGGGAGGCCUGUGAAUUUUCGGAUGUAUUUCCGGCGGAGUUAUCGGGUUUGCCACCGGACCGGGAGAUCGAGUUCGUUAUUGACUUAGUAGCCGGGGCGGCUCCAAUUUCGAAGGCUCCGUAUAGAAUGGCACCGGCAGAGCUAAAGGAGCUCAAGGCACAGUUGCAAGACUUACUUGACAAAGGCUUUGUGAGGCCGAGCGCGUCACCCUGGGGAGCCCCGGUGCUAUUCGUUAAGAAGAAGGAAGGCACACUUCGACUCUGCGUGGAUUACCGUGAGUUGAACAAGAACACGGUGAAGAAUAAGUACCCGUUGCCGAGGAUUGAUGACUUAUUCGAUCAGUUGCAAGGGUCAAGGGUAUAUUCAAAGAUUGAUCUUCAAUCGGGGUAUCAUCAGUUAAAGAUAUGGCCCGAGGAUGUGCACAAGACGGCGUACCGUAUGCGGUAUGGCCAUUAUGAGUUCACGGUGAUGCCGUUUGGGCUUACUAAUGCCCUGGCGGCGUUCAUGGACUUAAUGAAUAGGGUCUUCCAUCCGCUAUUGGACCGGUGCGUCGUGGUAUUUAUUGACGACGUAUUGGUAUAUUCUCGGACCGAGGAGGAACACGAGGAACAUUUGAGGACCGUGUUGGAAAUACUCCGAAAAGAGAAGUUGUAUGCGAAGUUGAAGAAAUGCGACUUUUGGCUAUCGGAGGUCACUUUCCUUGGUCAUGUAAUUUCAGGCGAUAGUAUCUCGGUGGACCCGAAGAAAGUGGAGGCAAUUAGAGAUUGGCCUCGCCCGACGAGCGUAUCGGAGGUCCGCAGUUUCCUUGGGCUAGCGGGCUAUUACCGGCGGUUCGUGGAGGGGUUUGGUAAAAUAACUACUCCACUAACGCGCCUUACACACAAAGGGGUGAAGUAUGUUUGGAGCCCCGAAUGCGAGCGGAGCUUCGAGGAAUUAAAAGAAACAUUGACCACGACCCAAGUGCUUGCUCUACCGACGCCGGGGGAGACAUUUGUGGUGUAUAGUGAUGCUUCUUAUGUUGGACUCGGGUGUGUCUUGAUGCAAAACGGGCGGGUUAUAGCUUAUGCUUCGCGCUAAUUGAAGACGUAUGAGAAGAACUACCCGAUCCACGAUCUGGAGUUAGCGGUGGUUAUUUUCGCGCUAAAAUUGUGGAGGCAUUAUCUAUAUGGGGAAUAUUGUGAGAUCUACAUAGAUCACAAAAGUCUUAAAUACUUGUUCACCCAAAAGGAGCUAAAUAUGCGACAGCGGCGGUGGUUAGAAUUGUUGAAAGACUAUGAUGUUGCUAUUCUAUACCACCCCGGGAAAGCAAAUGUCGUGGCCGAUGCACUUAGUAGGAAAUCGGGAGAAAAUUUGGCUUCGGUAAUUACAUCCCAACCAUUAAUGCAGAAGAAGAUGCAACGGCUCGGUUUGGAAGUAGUGGAGCCGGGGGUGCCGACUACACUUGCCACGCUAGUAGUGCAACCGACCUUGUUGGAGAGGAUCAAGGAGUUGCAAGCUUCCGAUGAGUAUCUCCAAAAGGUGCGCGGUGAAGUUGAGAACGCUAGUGUCGACGAUUUUGGUAUUGGGGCCGACGGCACACUUCGAUUUCGGAAUCGUUAGUGUGUGCCUAAGAACAAGGACAUCCGCAAAGCAAUUAUGCAAGAGGCGCAUCAAUCCCCUUAUAGUAUUGACCCGUGCAGCACCAAAAUGUAUCAAGAUUUGUAAUUGCACUAUUGGUGGCCGGGCAUGAAGAAAGACAUUGGGGAGUUUGUUGCGCAAUGUCUUACUUGCCAACAAGUAAAAACGGAGCGGCGGUUUCCAGCGGGAAAGUUGCAAAGUUUACCUAUACCCGUUUGGAAAUGGAAAAAUAUCGCAAUGGACUUCGUGACCGGAUUGCCUCGAUCUUAAGGUGGACAUGAUGCAAUUUGGGUGAUAGUAGACCGGUUGAUGAAGUCGGCACAUUUUCUACCGAUUCAUAUUACUUGGUCGGGGGACAAGUUGGCUCAACUAUAUAUUGACGAGGUUCUGAGACUUCACGGGGUACCGGUGUCUAUUGUAUCAGAUUGGGACCCGAGGUUUACAUCUCAUUUUUGGAGGAGCCUACAGGAGGCCUUAGGCACUCGGCUCGACUUUAGCACAGCAUUUCAUCCUCAAAGUGAUGGUCAAUCGGAGAGGACGAUACAAAUACUUGAGGAUAUGCUUCGAGCAUGUGUACUAGACUACAAGGGCAGUUGGCACGAUCAUCUACCGAUGGCGGAGUUCGCGUACAAUAAUAGUUGCCAAGAGAGUAUCGCGAUGGCGCCAUUCAACGCCCUUUAUGGAAAGAAAUGUUGUCUCCAAUCCAUUGUAGCGAUGUGGGCGAGAGAGCUACUCUUGGCCGAGAUGUGGUGCGGGAGGCGGAGGAGAAAGUUCGCCUUGCCCGCCAAAGACUCACUACGGCGCAAUCUCGGCAAAAGUGUUAUGCCGACAGACGGAGGAAAGAUAUAGAAUUUGCCGUUGGAGACCACGUUUUCCUAAAGGUGUCGCCAAUGCGAGGAGUUAGACGGUUUGGGCUUCGGGGGAAGCUAAGUCCCCGGUACCUCGGACCGUUUGAGGUAUUGGAGCGGGUCGGCGUGGUGGCGUACAAGAUAGCAUUACCACCGAGGCUUGCGGGAGUGCAUGAUGUAUUUCACGUAUCGAACCUCCGCAAGUAAGUUCACGACCCCGAUCAUGUUCUCUCGUUCGAACCGUCCGAGAUCCAAGAGGACAUGACCUAUGAAGAGUUCCCGGCAUACAUCAUCGAUCGAGAAGUAAGAAAACUACGAAAUCGAGAGAUUCCGUAUGUUAAGAUUCGUUGGUGCAAUCACGAUGACCGGGAGGCUACUUGGGAGCUCGAGAGCGCAAUGCGGGAGUAUUAUCCUCACCUCUUUAACGAGCUGAAUUGAGGUAUGAGUUUAAGUCUAAAUUAAGUAAGUUUCGCGGACGAAACUAAAUUUAAGGGGGAAAGAAUGUAACAUACCGAAACCUCGGUAAUUAAAUUCGAACCUUGAUCAAAUUGACCAAAGUGCGAGGUUGGUACACUUCGGAAAGGCCGAAGGCGUCAAAUAAUGCAAAAAUGCAUUACUGGGGAUCUUCGAGAGCUUUGAAAAUUAAAAUCUGCAAACUGCAGGUUUCGUGCUCUAGGGGACCGGUCCCUGGUGGGAGAGACCGGUCCCGGAACGCGUAGGCAGCGAGAUGGCUGAGAAAUCGGCUAAGUCCUGAAAAAUCAGCUCUCGGGAACCGGUCCGUGCGAGGAGAGACCGGUCCCCUAGAGACCGGUCCCAUCGAGGGAGACCGGUUGCAUCGCGCGCAGCCUGCACAGUCCGCGGGAGAAGCUCUCGGGGACCGGUCCCAGGUUGGGGAGACCGGUCACUGACUGCGAAAAAUGCCCAGUCUGGGCAGUGCACUGGAGAUAAAGUGCGAGGGCUUAAAUGCAAUUGUCACAACACCUUAUAUGGCCCAACCUUCUCUCCUCUUCAUAGCACACACACACAUCUCUCCCUCUCACUUUCUCUCUUUUCUCUUUCUAGAGAGCUAACCCUAGAGCUUGGAGAAGAAGAAGAAGGAGCUUGAGGAGGAAUUUUUGGUGGAUUUGGUGGGUCUAGGAGCUCUCCAACAAGAAGGAACUUGCUAGGACUUGGACUAGAGGUAAGUUCUUGUAAGAUUUCCUCUAGGGUUUGGAUUUUAACCUUAGAUUUUGGAGUUUUUGUCUCUUUAGAGGCUUUAGAAGAGUAGUAGAGCCUUGAACACCAUGAACACUAGUUUUCUUCAUGGUGCUCUAAUGGGCGAUUUCUAGGGUUUGCAUUUUAAGCCCUAGAGAUGGUUGGGAUGGUUCUAAAUGAGCUUCUAGAGACUAGACAAGCUCUCUUUUGCUUGUUUUAGAGAUCAAAACCUAGGGUUUAGCAAUGGGUUUGGUUAGGGCACCAAAUUUGGGGCUUUUGCCCUAGGAUUUUUCGAGGGCGAAUUGACCUCGUAGAAACCUAAUUGGCGGUAUCCUCGACGCGUUGGACAACUCCGUUCGACGUUACGAAAAUAUUUAAGUAUGGUUCAUGUACAAAGGGCCUAAUAUGGCACUAUUUUGGUUAUAGGACGCAGAAUCGGCUUUCGUAAAGUUCGGGAGUCGUCAUAUUCUACACCCAAACGACUACUCGAGGUGGGUGGUGCAUUCCAAGGACUUCGAAAAUCUCUCUAUGUCUAAGUGUCAUGUUUUGAGCAUAUGUACAUAUUUGAGCAUUUUGCAUAAUAGGGUUAAAUUGUGAACUCUUUUAUAGCAUGAAGUAAAUUCAAAUGCAUGUUAAAUACUUGUAAGAAUGUGAGUAUGAUAAACCCUAUUUAUGCACGACAAGUGACAAGAACCUAGAAGGGUUAGUGAACAAAAGUAACACAUGGACAUAGAUCUAGUGAGUGACAUUGAUGAAUCUAGAACACUUAGAAAAUAAGUGUGGCAUGAGUACAAGAACUUAGUAGUGCAUAUGAUACUAGUGAUAGUAAAGAAUGGAAAGAAAAGAAUGAUUGAGACAUUAUGACAUUUCAAUCUUAGAGUUAAGGGUCAUUUGUUCAUGGUCUUCCUUAAAGUUAAGGAAUGGAUUGAACUUGGAAUCCUCAAUGUAGGAUUGAUCGUACUCACCUUUAGUCCUUGCUCGAGGGUGUUAGCUCCCCCUCGGGCGAUGUGCUCCGGAGUCGACAUCACUGUUGUAGCGGGUAUCUCCCCAGAGGACGGUCCUAUCGGGUUGUAGCGCGUAUUUUCACGGUUAUUAGGAUUUUGGGUUGGUGAGUUUGUUCAGGGCAAAACCUACGGGUUAGCCAAGAGAUUGGGUAAAGAAAUUGUGAUCCUGCAUUCAUCAUGAGCAUUAUACCAAGUAUCACAUUUUAUAUUGUUCAGGUAUAUUAGUUGCAUUUGUUAGUUUGCUACUUUCUUUCUUCUAUUCUAUUAUGCCUUAUUAGACCUAGUGGGAUAGUCGGCGUGAUUGGUUGCCGAACCCACUGGAAACUUUGUUGUAGUUUCACACCCCUAUUUCCACAGAGCCGGGACCGAGCGAGCCGGCAGACGACCGCGGUAAGGGCAUCGCGCCCUAGGUAGAGACCGCCCGAGAUGUUUUAUUUCUUAGUUGCAUACCCUUUUGAUAUAUCAUCUUUUGUAUUUUGAUGAUUAUAGUUGUUAAAUAAAAGGAUAUGAAUGAUGUAAAAGAAUUUAUUCAAUAUCAAUGUUAUAUUUUGGAGAUAUGAGAUGUAAAAAAGAAAUGAUACAAAAUUGUAAUUGAUUUCCUAAGUGUAGUUAUUUACUUUCACUAUUGGCUAUUGCUUGCCCUCGUGCAAGCCAUUGUGUAUGCUUCCGCUUAUGCAAACUUUAUACUCUAUUGAUACUUGUUGUUGAGCCUUGGGCGGAUAGGGGAGGCUCUGUCCGUUCGACGUCUGUUCGACGCUCUCGAACCUGCCAAAAGGAUCGGGCUCGGGGCAUGACAUUUAGCUUCCAAAUACAAUCAUUUAUAACAAAUUAUUACAAGUUUGUUCUUUCAUCUCUAACCCCUAAGUUAGACCAUUUCGGGGUACCAUUAUCUUUGGUCUCGGGGUAGGGCGCUAUCUAUGGAGCUACGCCCUUUCCUCGCAUCGCCGCGCCGCUCGCGUGUGAACUUUAAACCCCAAAACCACGUGGGGUGAGAACUAUUGUCCAUAGUUUUCAGUGGGUACGGCCACCCAAGGGAAGAGCUCGACCCACCAGGUCCGAAGGAGGCACUGCAACAUGUUAGUCCAACAGAUAUCCACAGAUACUUAUGCAAUAUUAAAACACAUGUUAUGCCUCUCAACAUGCAACAUGAAAAUCAUACAGUUUAUGCAACUAUGCAACCAACUAGUAGAUCAAUUGAUACUAAUCGAUUCUGCUAUCCCUAGCUCAUAUCCAACUAGCUUCUAAGGUUUCUGCCACCUUCGUUCCACAGAUCAAGUCCAACUAGCUACUAAGGUUUUUACUACCUUAGGUCUUGCUAUUUACCUCUAGCUUUUAAGGUUUCUACCACCUUAACCAAGCUAUCCACUCGACUCGGCCUCGAGUCAAUCAUCCGCGGACUACCGCGCAAAGCUAAGCUCGAGGUGAAGGGCAUCUUACACGCACCUCAGCCCUAAAUCCAUUCGACUAUAGGUCCACCACAGGGUGAGGAGAACCGUCGAACCCUGGACCAUAAGUCGCCAAGCUCAACGGGCGAGGAGAACCAACAUACCCGUUUCGAGCUCAUACCAGGCACGGAAAACCAACAUACCUGUUGAAUCACUGUCGGGCGAGGAGAACCAACAUACCCGCAGUUCUGAUUCACUUGCAUUCAGCCGCAAGUUUCCGCCACUCUCUCCGCGGCCACCAUAACUAGGGAUUCCGGAAUCCACUUCCAUAUCUCAAGGGUCAUCUGCAAACCUUAUAAUGUCGACCUAUCUAGAUUUGACCCAUAAACAUCCUAGUGGUUGCUACCACUAUAGUCCACAACCUAGGGUCAACCACGCUAGGUUCUACGUCAUCUCUACCUAGAUCUCGACUCUGGGUUCACUUGUUCAACCUAUAUUUAUCAACACUAGGUUCAAUGCUACUCAUGUUCAACCUAUGUUCACGACACUAGGUUCAAUGCCACUCGAUCUACUUGACAUUUUACUUGUCCACAUCGAGAAAUAUAGCCCACAUGCUCUUGUUUUCCAAUGUCGAUUCUCUAAUCAACCUAGAGUUAUCGACCAAGUUCACAUCUACGUGAAUCUAACAUAUUUUAUACAUGUCAACAUGCAUACCUCAUCUAGUAUAUUUCACAAUGUCAAAAUUCAUUUACCAUCUAGUAUAUAGAUAUCCACAUGCACAUUUCAUCUAGCAUGUCUUACGAUAUAUAAUCAUGCAUUUCAUUUAGCAUUUCUACAUUAUGUCAUUAUGCAUUCUUCUAGCUUUUCUACAUUAUGUCAUCUUGCAUCCAAUGGUAGCCUAACAUAGCAUUCAUCGCAUGCAUUGAUAUGUUUUACAUCUAACUACUAUAUAUGCAUCAAUGAUAAAUCUCACUUCGCUUCGACAUGGAAGCGAGCUAAUAACUUCGGUGAGCACAACCUACCUCGUAACGCUCUACGAUUGCUUGUAGUCACUUGCAAUCGGCCUCCCGCGGCAUUCGUUGUCCAGUUCGACUCGAACUCCCAAACGAUCACCAACUACACGUCGAUCCGCGACCUAGGGUCAUCCAGGGCCCAUUUUUAACCUUCAAUUAGAGAUUAAUAGGGUUUAAUUAGAUCAAAACCCCAACAUGCCCAAAAACCCAAUCCAAGCCCUAGCUUCUCAUUUCUCCCAAAUAACCUAAGUAUUCAUGGAGAAAACAUACUAGAAACAUUCUAAGUUCUAUUAGAACACUAAGCAUUAAGGAUUAAACUAAAUCCCAAAAGCUUACCAAAAUGCGAACGCCGAGACGGAAGCACGCCGCUCAAACGGGCGCACGAGGGACCGAACCGUUGCUCCCAAUGAGUUCCCAAGCUUCUUCUUCUCCAAAAUCCCAACUUUAGGAGAGAGAUCUAGAGGGAUGGAGGAGAAAUCUAGAGAGAGGAGAGACUCUCUCUCUAACUCCAUAUGCGUAGGUGUGUGUGUGGCUGUGAAGGAGGGCGGAAGAAGAAGAAGCCCCCUUUUUAAGUCAACUCUCCCACAAUUGCAAUCAGCCCCCUGCUGUUUCUGGGCUGUUUUCGGGCUCAGGGUCCAGACCUUUAUACAACCAAGGUCUGAACCCCGUAGGUCCAGAAAAUCUGCAUUUUUCAGACUUUGCCAAAAUUUAAGUCUUUUGCCGUUUCUUCUCCGUUUUCGCUCGUUUUCGCUCCGUGGGUCUCCGAUUCACCUCAAAUCGCAUUGAGACCACCAUAACAUGUUUUUGAGCGUGUUCAAACCAUCUUUUCAUCCACGCCUUGCCGGAUUUCGGCCAAGGCCGAAUCAUAGCUUUUCGGGUUCCGUUUCUGCACCCGACGCGUACCGAAAACACCCGAAUGCUCCCAAACUUCACCGAAAUCAUUCUAAUGGCUUCCUAAACCAACAUAUACCGUAACUUCAGAAUUAUAGAAGUUCGGUAUGCUACACAUCUCAUAACCUAGGUUUAACCACACUAGGUUCAAUACCACUCAUCUCAUAACCUAGGUUUAACCACACUAGGUACAAUGCCACUUAUCUCAUAACCUAGGUUUAACCACACUAGGUACAAUGCCACUCAUCUCAUAACCUAGGUUUAGCCACACUAGGUUCUAUACCACUUCCACCGAGAUUCACUCGACUCUAGGUUCACUGUUCAACCUAUGUUCAAUGACACUAGGUUCGAUGUCCAAUCAAGUUAUUUGUUAUCCUAGUUGUCCACACCUAGGAUUCAUAACAUCUAGUUCCUGUUUCCAAUUGUCGAGUUCUCUAAUCAUCCUAGAGUUUAUUGACCCAAGUUCACAUUCAUAUCUAGGCAUACAUAUAACCAUAUCCUAUAUGUCCACAUGCCUAUGUUUUUCAUCCAAUGGUAGGUAACAUUAUCUAGCAAAAUAUGAUUCAUGUAUUCAUAUUAAUCAUAUACAACCUACUAUUACAUGUACAUGCAUCAACAAUAAACCAUACUUCACUCUUUGGCAUGGAAGUGAUCUAAUCACUUCGGUGAAGCACAACCCACCUCACAAUACUUCCGAUUGCUUGCAAACACUUGCAAUCGGGCUUCCGCGGCACGCGUCGCCAGGUUCGGCUCGAACUCGCAAUCGACCACCGAACGCUCACCGAUUUCCAACCUAGAGUUGUCUGAGGCUCUCCUCUAACCUUCAAUUAGAGAACCAAAUGGUCAAUUUAGAUCAAAACCCUUAAACCCCAAAACCGCCAAUUUCAAGCCCUAGUUGUUUCCAUUUCUCCAAAUACCCCAAAAUUCAUGAAGCAACAUGUUUAUCUAGCUUAGAAUAGUCUAGGGAUCUCUAGAAUACCAUUCAUAAAGGAUUUAACCAAAAUCCCAAACUUUUAACCAAAUGCGAACCUCGAGUCGGAAGCACACCAAGCCACCUAGCGCUCGAGGGCUCGAUCCGCCGUUCCCAACGCGUUCCCAAGCUCGCUUUUCGCCAAAACCCCGACUUUGGGAGAGAUCCAAAGAGAAGGAGUAUGUAAUAUAUCGAAACCUCGGUAGAUAUUAUAGGAACUUGAGGAGACUAUGAGGAAGAUGUAUCAUCACUUGUUCGAGUCGACAAGCUAAGGUAUGUGAUAGUUUCGCGGACGAAACUAAUUUUAAGUGGUGGAGAAUGUAAUAUAUCGAAACCUCGAUAGAUAUUAUGGGACUUUACCCAAAUUGACUAAAGCAUCCAAGAGAAAUAGUUGGACAAGUUCCAAUUGGUAUUCCAACAAGGUUGGAAGGAUUAAAAGUUAGUUUAAAAGAGUUAGAAUGGUUUUUGCAUUGAUCGGAGCGAAAUUGGAUUAAAAAGAUGCAAAAAUCUGAAGUCUGGGCAUUUUGUACUGGUAUAGUAUCAAUGUUGUACCGGUACACAUGUGGUAACCGAGGAGAAGCUGCUCUCGGGUUUGAGAAAAAUUUGGCUAUGUUACCGGUGACACCCCUGAUGUGUACCGGUACACUUUUGUAAAACCCGAACAGCUGCUCUCGGGUUUGGUUCUGCGCGAUCGUGUUACCGGUGACAGCAAACCUGUACCGGUACACUUUGGGUCUGGCAGCAGAAUUUGGUCUGCUGCAAAAUAGAGUUUUUGGGGGGCCUAGUUGCUAUUGUUGCAACCUAUAAAAAUACCCCAACACACCAACUGGUUCACAGCAGCUGUGAACACCAUCUCCAACCUAUUUCCUCCCUCUCUCUCUCUAGGAAUCUCUCUUCAAAGGCUAAGAGGAGCUAAGAGGAGGAUUUGAAGGUGAUUUUGGAGGAUUUGAAAGGUUUGAGCUCUUCUACAAGGUGGACCUUGGAGUGCUUUUGGGCUAAGGUGAGUUUUUAUACAAGAAUGGUUCUAGGGUUUGGAUUUUUACCCUAAGUCUUGGAGUUUUGGUCUUCUUGCAAAGCUAGAAACUCUCUUGAGACCUUGAACCCAUGAAAAUUCAUGGUUUCUUCAAGUGCUCUCAUGGUGAACUUCUAGAGUUCAUGUUGGAUGCCCUAGGGAUGUAUGGAAUGGCUUAGAAAUUGGUAUUAGAGAAGUUCUAGAGGCUUAACAAGCUUACAUUUGCUUGUUCUAGAGAUCAAACCAAGAGAUUGCUAUGGUGACAUUGUUAGGGCACCAAAUUUGGGGCUUUUUCCUUCAAUCGUUUUCGAGGUAAAUUGACCUUAUGAAAACCUAAUUGGGUGUAUUCCCGACGCGUUGGUGUGUUUGGUUCGGCGAAACGAAAAUGUCUAAGUAAAUAUAUUGAAUAAAAAGCCUAAUUUGGCUUUAUUUUGGUACAGAUCGCCGCAACACGCGGAAUAGGAGUCUAAAAAUCACGAGAAUCGAACCCCAACUCCUUUGCUACUAUUCGAGGUGGGGGGUGCACUACGGAAUCAUUGGAUUCCCCUUUAUGUCUACAUCACCUUUUAUUGUGCAUAUGUGUCAAUAGUCAUUCAUGCAUAAUAGGAUAAUUUUACAUGUGAAUAUUGGUUGGGCUUCAAUUAUAUGCUUCUAACGUAGAUGAAUAUAGUGAUUGACAUGAACCAUAGAGGACAUGUUUGUUAGAACCCUAUACAUGUGUGAAUGUGAGACUUGGACUAUGAUAAUAGUAAACAAAGGUGAGAUUGACAAUAGCGACAAGAUUGGCAUUGAAAAAUGAAUCGUUAAACAAAGUUUAACCAUUAGUGGCAUUAUGGUAAGUGUAGCCUAGAGUGUGGCAUAUAUGACAAGGUAGAAACCUGUUAUAGUAUUGUGGCAUUGUGACAUUGUGGCUAUACGUCGUCAAGUUGAGGAUUGGAUCGAUACUCACGUUAAGUCUUGGCUUGAGGGAGGUAGCUCCCCCUUAAGCGGUGUGCUCCGAAGUAGGUCACCACGGGGAUAGUGGCCCCGAAGACGGUCCCUCGAGUGGAAGUGCUUGGAGCCUCCUCGAUCAAUAGGGAUUUUGGGUUGUGAGUUUUUGGGGUUAUCAAGGUUAACCGGCACAAUUGGGUAAAAGCCAAUGUAAAUUGUGGAAAGAGCAUGCAUGCAUAUUCAUUGUUACAUGAUUAUAUAUCUAUUUGUUGACAGUUUUCUUGCAGUAGUAUUAGCAUUAGUAUGGUUACUAUUCCCUUUUCUUGAAAUACUUAUGCCUAAAUAGACCUAGUGGGUAAGUCGGCAAGAUCGGUGGCCGAACUCACUGGGAACUUCGUUAUAGUUUUCACACCACUAACCCUACAUAUCCGAGUGCGAGCGGGGCGGCGGAGGAUCGAGGCAAGGGUAUUGCGCCAUAACUAGUGGCCACCGAAGUACGUACAUAGUCAUUCCCUUUUGUUCAUGUAUCAACUUUUAUUUUAUUGAUCAAGUGAUGUAAAAGUUGUAAACAAUCAUGUAUUUUGGGUUGGAUGAUUAUGAUGUAAAGAAAUUAUGAAUGAAAGUAAAACGAAUUUAAUAGUUUUAGUUUACUUGUAUUUGGUUAAAAUGUAAUCAAAUAUUAUGUAUGUGGUUGCUUGUAGUAGUUUAGAGCUUUCAUUCAUGUUGUUGCUUGCCCUCGUGUAAGUCUUGUAUAAUUGCAAUUCUCAUUGAUUGAUUGCUUAAUUAUACUUGUUGCUAGAGCCUUGGGCGGGCAGGGGAGGUCCUGUCCGUUCGGCGUCUGUUGACGUGGCCCGAAUUCGACCAAAUAGGCGGAGCUCGUGGCGUGACAGAUAUAAUGGUAUCAGAGCGUGGUGAAGGCAAAAAGUCUAGAAUGGACUUAGGGACCUUAGGAUUGGAGACCUCAGGCACUUAGAAAACACUUAACGUGGACUUGGUAAUUACGGAAACUAAUUGAUUGGGUUGACAUUGGUACUUCUCUAAAAGGAAUUAGAGAUGGAUUCAAGUGUUUAUUUGUUUUCUACUUAAGGGAUUGUGUGGGGCGGCGCACCACAUGAUGUCGAGAGACGAAAAUAAUUACGCUUGAUUGCUUUCGCUUAAUUGGGUAGUUAUUUGGAAUGUGUAAGGGUCAUGUGUGUCGAGUACUAAUAUGUGUGCUACGUUUCAGGACGUGAUGGCACCAAGGGGAUGCCCUAAGACGAGAUCCACGGGAGGAGCCCGCGCAGACAGGGUAAGAUGGAGUGCGCGAGCUGCGAGCCCAAGUAGUGGCAUUGGCUGGGGCUAUGCGGCAGCAGGGGGAGCAGAUUGGACGGCUCCACGAGUUGGUGGCACGACAGGCGGCGGCGGCGGCAGCGGCACCUGUACCUCAGGAUCCGGCCGCACCUGUAGCACCACCUCCUGUGGUGGCAGCGGCAACAGUGAUGGUGAUUCCUCCGACGGCCUCGGGUUCUUCGGCUCUAAUACCCGACGCGCUUGAGGCCGAGCGGGAGCAGUCAUUGGCGGUACUUUCGGCCUUUAAGCGAUUUAACCCUGUGACCUUCAACGGUGAUGUGAAGGAUCCGUGGGUGGUAGAGAGUUGGCUAGCCGCAAUGGAGGCGUUGUUCGAAGAUAUUUACACCCUCGAGAAGGAUAAAGUUUACCUAGCAGCUCACUGUUUCGAAGGGUCGGCUCGAUUGUGGUGGACUCAAGCGAAGAAGAGUCACUCGUUGGAUCUUGCUUCUAUUACUUGGGAGGCGUUUCGGGAGUUGCUACUUAUGGAGUAUUUUCCUGAGAGCGAUAAGCGGAAGAUUAAGGAGGACUUUCGCAAGUUGAGGCAAGGGAGCCGGAUGGUGCGGGAGUAUGAAAAGGAGUUCACGCACAUGAUCAAUUGUGUGCCGAGCUUGGUUCACGGUGAUAGGGACCGAGCGGAGGCUUUCGAGCGCAGGUUGCGAUCCGAUAUUUUCAAGGUUAUUCAUGCAUUCCGCUUGAAGACCUAUGAGGAGGUACUUGAUCGAGCGCUAUGGGUGGAGCGCGGCAAUGCUAUAGCGCGAGAGGAGCCCGAGGCUUUCGAGAAGGACAGGGAGAAAGAUAAGUCCAAGAAGCGGACGACUAAUGGAUCCGCGGGGCAGUUGAGUUAUAAUCGACCCCCUCGACAUCAGCGAUCACAGUGGCGGGGAGGCAGGAGUUAGACACAGAGCCAGACUUCCUACCCGUGCGUGAUAUGCGGCAGAGACCACCGAGUUAUUACCUGCCCUCAGCGAGAGGGGCGGUGCUUCAGAUGCGGCCAAGCGGGCCACAUAGGCCGAGAGUGCCCGGGUGGCGCAUCACCUGCUCCGCCAGCAGCUUCGGUCCAGUACACUCAGCGGCAGCAUGCAGGACUGCCACUUGCCAUGUCGGCUGGAUGUGCAUCAGCGCCUCGUCAGCCGGAGGCAUCUCAAGCACCUAGUGGGCGGAUUUUUGCCACUCAGGUGGAGGAGCAGCCGAUGGUACCCGAUGAUGUGGUGGCAGGUAUUAUUCUAAUCAAAGGCACUAGAGCUAGAGCAUUAUUUGACACGGGUGCAUCUCGUUCGUUCAUUAGUGCAUCAUUUGCAAAGAGUCAUGGCAUAGAGAUCGUGCAUAAUGAAGAUUAUUGGUGGGUGAAUGCUCCCGAGCACUCGUUCCGUAUUCAUGACAAGUGCUUGGCUUGUCCUAUUCAGAUUAGUGACUGGAUUAUACCGAUAGAUUUACUAGUGCUCGACCCAAUGUGGGGCUUCGAUGUAAUCUUGGGGAUCAAUUGGCUCUCCAAGUAUUAUGCGGUUAUAGAUUGUGAGAGCAAGGCGAUCACAUUUCGUGAGCCUAAUCAAGAGGAGAUGGUGUAUCGUGCAUGUAAAAGCUCGUGUUUCGCGGCGACGGUGUCGGCGGCGAGGGCAUGGAAAAUGAUUAAGGGUGGAUGUGUAGCCUAGGCAACAAUGGUGGACACUCAAAAAGAGCACCCGGAUUUGGGGAACAUUUGAGUAGUAUGUGAAUUUCCGGAUGUGUUUCCGGCGGAGUUACCGGGAUUGCCACCGGACCGGAAAGUCGAGUUUGUCAUUGAUUUGAUUCCCGGAGUGGCGCCAAUUUUGAAGGCUCCGUAUAGAAUGGCACCAGUGGAGCUAGUGGAAUUAAAAGCCCAAUUGCAAGAUUUGCUCGAUAAAGGCUUUGUGCGGCCGAGCGUGUCUCUGUGGGGAGCUCCGGUGCUAUUUGUAAAGAAGAAGGAUGGCACACUUCGACUUUGCGUUGAUUAUCGCGAGUUGAACAAAGUAACGAUAAAAAACAAGUACCCGUUGUCAAGGAUAGACGAUUUAUUCGAUCAGUUGCAAGGGUCAAGAGUAUAUUCAAAGAUCGAUCUUCAAUCGGAGUAUCAUCAAUUGAAGAUACGACCCAAGGAUGUGCACAAAACGGUGUACCGUACGCGGUAUGGCCAUUACGAGUUCACGGUCAUGCCGUUUGGGCUUACUAAUGCCCUCGCAGCGUUUAUGGACUUGAUGAAUCGGGUCUUUCGACCGUUAUUGGACCGGUGCGUCGUGGUAUUCAUUGACGACGUGUUGGUAUAUUCGCGGACCGAGGAAGAACACGAGGAGCAUUUGAGGAUCGUGUUGGAAAUACUCUGAAAAGAGAAGCUAUAUGCCAAGCUAAAGAAGUGUGAAUUUUGGCUUUCGGAGGUUACUUUCUUAGGUCACGUUAUAUCCAGGGAUGGCAUCUCGAUGGACCCAAAGAAAGUUGAGGCAAUUAAAGAUUGGCCUCGCCCGACAAGUGUAGCGAAAAUUUGUAGCUUCCUUGGACUUGCGGGCUACUACCGACGGUUUAUGGAGGGGUUUGCUAAAAUAACUACUCCACUAACGCGCCUUACACACAAAGGGGUGAAGUAUGUUUGGAGCCCCGAAUGUGAGCAGAGCUUCGGGGAGCUAAAGGAAAGGCUGACAUCGACCCCAGUGCUUGCUUUGCCGACGCCGUGGGAGAGCUAUGUAGUGUAUAGUGAUGCUUCGUAUAUCGGUCUCGGGUGUGUCUUAAUGCAAAAUGGCCGAAUUAUAGUUUAUGCUUCGCACCAAUUGAAGAGCUAUGAAAAGAACUACCCAAUUCACGACCUUGAGCUAGCGGCCGUUAUUUUCGCGCUAAAGUUGUGAAGGCAUUACUUGUACGGUGAGCAUUGUGAGAUCUACACCGACCAUAAGAGUCUCAAAUAUUUGUUCACCCAGAAAGAGUUAAAUGUGCGACAGCGGUAGUAGUUCGAGUUGCUAAAGGACUAUGAUGUCACUAUUCUAUACCACCCCGGGAAGGCAAAUAUCGUGGCCGAUGCUCUCAGUAGGAAGUCGGUGGAAAAUUUGGCGACGGCAGUUACGCCCCAACGGGCAUUGUAAAAAGAGAUGCAACGGUUAGGACUUGAAGUAGUGGCGCCGGGAGUGCCGGCAACACUUGCGGCGUUGGUUGUGCAAUCGACCUUGUUGGAGAGGAUUAAAGAAUUUCAAGCUUCCAAUGAAUAUCUCCAAAAGGUGCAGGGUGAAGUUGAGAGCGGUAGUGUCGAUGAAUUUGGCAUUGGGACCGACGGCGCACUACGAUUCAGAAAUCGUUGGUGCGUGCCUAAAGAUGAUGAUCUUCGGAGGGCGAUUAUGCAAGAAGCGCAUCAAUCUCCCUAUAGCAUUCAUCCGGGCGGCACCAAAAUGUAUCAAGAUUUGAAGCUACAUUAUUGGUGGCCGAGCAUGAAAAGGGACAUAGGGGAGUUUGUGGCGCAAUGUCUAACGUGCCAACAAGUGAAAGCGGAGCGCUGGUUUUCGGCGGAAAAAUUGCUAAGGCUAUCUAUACCCGUUUGGAAAUGGGAGGACAUCGCAAUGGAUUUUGUGAUCGGUUUGCCUCGUUCUCAAGGUGGAUAUGAUGCAAUUUGGGUAAUUAUGGACCGGUUGACAAAGUCGGCUCAUUUCUUGCCGAUUCACACUACAUGGUCUGGAGACAAGUUAGCUCAAGUGUAUCUCGACGAGGUUGUGAGACUUCAUGGGGUUUCGGUGUCUAUUGUAUCGGAUCGAGACCCUAGGUUCACGUCUUAUUUUUGGAAGAGCUUACAAGAUGCAUUGGGCACACGGCUCGACUUUAGUACAGCAUUCCAUCGUCAAAGUGACGGUCAAUCGGAGAGGACUAUACAAAUACUUAAGGAUAUGCUUCGGGCGUGUGUACUCGAUUACAAGGGCGGAUGGCACGAUUACGUACCGAUGGCGGAAUUCGCGUAUAAUAAUAGCUAUCAAGAAAGCAUCACGAUGAUACCAUUCGAUGCCCUUUAUGGAAAGAAAUGCCGCUCUCCCAUACAUUGGAGCGAUGUGGGGGAGAGAGUUGCUCUUGGCCCCGGUGUAGUGCGGGAGGCGGAGGAGAAAGUUCGCCUUGCCUGACAACGACUUGCAACGGUACAAUCUCGGCAAAAGAGUUAUGCCGACAAGCGGAGGAAGGAUUUAGAGUUUGCGAUUGGAGACCGCGUAUUUUUUAAAGUAUCGCCGAUGCGUGGUGUGAAGAGGUUUGGUGUCCGCGGGAAGCUAAGUCCCCGAUAUGUCGGACCAUUUGAGAUUUUGGAGCGGAUGGGUGCGGUGGCUUAUAAGCUUGCAUUACCACCGAGGCUUGCGGGAGUACACAACGUGUUUCACGUAUCAAAUCUCCGCAAGUAUAUCCGCAAUUCGACGCAUGUGUUGGAGUAUGAACCGGUGGAAUUGAAUGAGGACAUGACUUAUGAGGAGUACCCGGUUUGUAUACUAGAUCGAGAGGAAAAGAAGUUGCGGAAUCGCAUAAUUCCUUAUGUCAAGGUCCAGUGGAGGAAUCAUGCGAUGCGUGAAGUCACUUGGGAACUUGAGGAGACUAUGAGGAAGAUGUAUCAUCACUUGUUCGAGUCGACAAGCUAAGUUACGUGAUAGUUUCGCGGACGAAACUAAUUUUAAAUGGUGGAGAAUAUAAUAUAUCGAAACCUCGAUAGAUAUUAUAGGACUUUACGCAAAUUGACUAAAGCAUCCAAGAGAAAUAGUUGGACAAGUUCCAAUUGGUAUUCCAACAUGGUUGGAAGGACUAAAAGUCAGUUUAAAAGAGUUAGAAUGGUUUUUGCAUUGACCGGAGCGAAAUUGGAUCGAAAAGAUGCAAAAAUCUGAAGUCUGGGCAUUUUGUACCGUUACAGCAUUAAUGUUGUACUGGUACACAUGUGGUAACCGAGCGGAAGCUGUUCUCGGAUUUGGGAAAAAUUUAGCUGUGUUACCGGUGACAUCCCUGAUGUGUACUUGUACACUUUUGUAAAACCCGAACAGCUGCUCUCGGGCUUGGUUCUGCGCGAUCGUGUUAGCGGUGACAGCCAACCUGUACCGGUACACUUUGGGUCUGGUAGCAGAUUUUGGUCUGCUGCAAAAUAGAGUUUUUUUGGGGCCUAGUUGCUAUUGUUGCAACCUAUAAAAAUACCCCAACACACCCACUGGUUCACAGCAGCUGUGAACACCAUCUCCAACCUAUUUCCUCCCCCUCUCUCUCUAGGAAUCUCGCUCCUGUAAUAUACCAGCAUUAUGUGAUAUAAAAAUAAUAAUAAAUAAAAAUAGUGUGAGAAACUAUUUUUAUUAGAUUUAUAGAGGUAAAACAUAAGUCAGAGGUGACUUGUGCUGAAAUCGGAAUUAAAACAGAAGAUCUAGAAUUUUCUGUUGGAGACGGGACAGAAAAAUAAGCAGAAAAUGCACGGUCUCAGAAAAUUAUGAAAAUUGGCGGAGUUGUCAGAAAUAUUUUUAUGAGGCUAGAUUUAAGGUUUCAUAUUUUUCUGACACCCAUAGAGUGAGAAAUAAAAUCUGAAAGCUAUCUGAUAAAGAUUGCAGUUCGGUACAGUUUUCAGUGACCAAACGGGGUCGAAACUGAACCAGUGAUCGUCAGCUUGUUAAGUUAAGUAAAACCGAACAUGACUGUCAAGUUUGAGCUCAAACGGACAUUCAGGGAGCUCCGGCGAAAGAUAUCAGAUUUCGAACUGCCCGAAAGUGAAUAGUGUUUUGGGGUGUAAAGUAUAAAGAAGCUUUUUGCUUCUUUCUCCUUCAGCCGACCACCAUGGCCACCCACGCGCGCAUGGAGAAGGGAGAGAGAAACCCUUCUUUCUCUCUCUAGAUUGCUCUCUCAUCUCUCUAUAUUUAUCGCUCAAAUUCACGGCGUUGGUGGAGAAGAUGCUUGCGAACGCGUUGGAGGCGACGGAUUGAGCUCUCGUGCGCCCGUUGGAGCGGCGUAUUUUCGUCGCGGCGUUCACAUUGAGGUAAGCUUUUGGGAUUUGACUUAAUCCUUAGCUUUAAGUAUUCUAAUAGCCUCUAAUGAGCUUUGUUAGCAUGUUGAUCCAUUUAAUUUUGGAUUAUUUUGAGGUUAAUAGCAUAUUAGGGCUCCGAAUGGGGUUUUGUAAAAUGUAAGGGUUUGAUCUAAAUUGACCCUAUAUAAACCUAAUUGCUAGGUAAACGAACGCGUUGGCGAAGACGGUUCGGCAAUCCGACGAGCCGUUGCGAAGUUAUUAAAGAAACGGACGUUUAGGCUUCGGGUCCGCCGGGAGGGCCGAGGCGAUAUCGUAAAUUCAUGAAAAUGGAUUUGAAGCUUCGUGGCACAUAACCGAAGACCUUUAAUUUUCGGAUCGUGGAUCGGAGGCCGUUCGGUAGUCGCGUGAGAGAUCGGGCCAAACCGGGUUACGGGUGCUGCGGGAGGCCGAUUGCAAGUGUCGACAAGCAAUCGGAAUGCGAAAUGAGGUGGGUUGUGCUCACCGAAGCGAUUAGGUCGCUUUCCAUGCUAAAGUGUAGUAUGUUUACUAUUGACGCAUGAUAAAGUAUGCUAUUUAAGAAUGCAUGAUAAAGAUUAAAGUAUGCUAUUUGAGAAUGCAUGAUAAAGUAUGCUAAUUAAGAAUGCAUGUAGUAAAUGUUAACGAAUGCAUAAAAUGCUAAGUAAUGACUACCAAUGGAUGACAAAAUAUAUGCAUGUUGAACAUAGAUCGAGUGGCAUUCGAAAUGGUAAAGUGGACACUAGAGUUAGUGUGGGACAUCAAAGAAUAAAUGUGAUGUAAAGAACAAUGAUAAUGGCUAAAGAUAAUGUAAAACAAUGUGAUGAUAAUAAUGUAAUGUUGCAUGAUGUGAGUACACGUGCUUAUUAGAAUGAUUAAGAAUCUAAAUAAUCUAUGUGUAUGCAUGAGAUGUAAUGUGAGAACCUAAUGAUAAUGGCUUGAGACAAGGCAAAGCAAUGUGAUGUAAAGAAUAAUGAUAAUGGCUAAAGACAAUGUAAUGUAAUGUGGCAUAAAGAACGUGUAAAGUUAAAGAAUGUGAAAGCUAAAGAUAGCUUAAAGUAAAGGAAUGUGAAAAACGUGAUUGCUAGAGUUAGCAAAAGUAAAAGAAAUGUAAAGAACAAUGAUUGCUAGAGUGGCAACAUAAAGUGAUGUAAAGAACACUAGAGUUAGUGUAAAACCAUGAUCCAACUACAUAUCCUUAGAGUUAAGGAUUGAUCAUACUUGCUAUGAGUUCCGUGCUCGAGGGCGGUCGCUCCCCCUCGGGCGAUGCGCUCCGGAGUUUGGCAUCCGGGUUGGAGUAGACCCGUAAGGACGGUCCUAGCUGGUGAGUUCCUGCGAUGAUGGACUUAAUGUGAAGCAAGUUAAUGUGGCGAAACCCCCGGGUUAGCCGUGAGAUUAAAGAACAAAGAACAAAAAGGGAUCAUGAAUUGGAAAGUUGAUCUUGUAUUCAUUAUGAAUUGACUCAAGACCGAGUCGAGUGGCAAAGUUGGCUAAGGUAAAUGUAACCUUAGGAAAGAGUGAUAAUUGAGAAAGACUUGUUAAUGUUAUAAAGAAUGGCAAAUGUGUAUGAUGAGCCUAAGGCGCGAGUGCCCUUAGUAAAGGAUAAAGAACAAAGAAUAAAGCAUAAAGAAUAAAGCAUAAAGAAUAAAGAAUAAAGAAUAAAGAUUAAAGAAUAAAGAAUGGCUAAUGAUAAAGAAUUGCAUAUUCUAAAGAAAGGCUAAUGGUAAAGAAUGACUAAGAGUUGCAUAAUUUGCAUAUUUGUGAGGCAUGAACAUGUAUUGCAUGAUGUUAUAUAUAUAUAUAUCUGUUGGACUAACAUGUUGCAGUGCCUCCUUUGGACCUGGUGGGUUGAGCUUUUCACUUGGGUGGCUGUACCCACUGACGACUAUGGACAAUAGUCUCACCCCCGUGUUGUUGUUUUUGGGGGUACAGGUUCACACGCGAGCGGCGCGGCGGCGCGAGGAAAGGGCGUAGCUCCGUAGUUAGCGCCCUACCACAGAGACCAGAUAGCAGCACCCUGAGUCGGCUUCUUAGGGGUAUAAGAAAAGAAAAGAAAAGAAUCGAUGUUGUAAUGUUAUGUUUAGAAAUCGAUUGUAUAUUUGGAAGUUGAGAAUCAAUGAAAUGAAAAAUGCGAUGUAAAAUGAUGAGAUGAAUGAUUGUAAUAAUAUAGGAUGUGUUAUGUUGUUUGAUACCUUCCUUAUGCAAUCGUUGUUGAUAAUUGUUCCUGUUUGGAACCUCUUGUAAUUGUAUUGAUUGCGACGCCUUGAACGUACAGGGGAGACUCUGUCCGCGUGCAGGGGAAACCCUGUCCGUUCGGCGGUCUGUUGGCGUGCCCGAAUCCGACC